CCUACGGGAGUCAGCAGUGAGGAAUAUUGGUCAAUGGGCGGGAGCCUGAACCAGCCAAGCCGCGUGAGGGAAGAAGGUACAGCGUAUCGUAAACCUCUUUUGUCAGGGAACAAAUGCGGGGACUAGUCCCCGGAUGAGGGUACCUGAAGAAAAAGCAACGGCUAACUCCAGGCCAGCAGCCGCGGUAAUACGGAGGAUGCGAGCGUUAACCGGAUUUAUUGGGUUUAACGGGUGCGCAGGCGGCCUGUUAAGUCAGCGGUGAAAGUCUGUGGCUCAACCAUAGAAUUGCCGUUGAAACUGGGGGGCUUGAGUAUGGUUGAGGCAGGCGGAAUGCGUGGUGUAGCGGUGAAAUGCUUAGAUAUCACGCAGAACACCGAUGGCGAAGGCAGCCUGCCAGGCCAUGACUGACGCUGAUGCACGAAAGCGUGGGGAUCAAACAGGAUUAGAUACCCCUGUAGUC
rnacentral:rRNA from 1 species